GCGACCCCAGGUCAGUCGGGAUUACCCGCUGAGUUUAA
rnacentral:rRNA from 2 species